GUGACAUUAAACUAUCUCUAGUCUUGAAUUUUGAUUCUAUAAAUGAUGGUGGUUUAUUUCUUAAAAGUUUAUCAUUUCAUCAGUAUGUGAGAAGUUGGGACACUCCCCUGCUGUGCAGAAUCACAUCACGCAGUUUGAAAGGUCAACCUCAUUAAAGCAACACUCCAUGUUGGUAAGCUCUAUCACAUCUCAGUGUGCAGGCAGGGCCCUCAGCAUCCUACCACCCACCCAACGAGCAGGCAGGAGGUACUGUAGCAUUAGGACAAGCACUGUUAAUAUGGGAAACAGUUUCUUCCCCCAGGAUGUGAGACCAUAUAGAACCCCGAGAUUCAUUUUAAGAACAUAAGAAAUAGGAGCAGGAGUAGGCCAUCCGGCCCAUCGAGCCUGCCUCAUCAUUCAAUAAGAUCAUGGCUGAUCUGUCAGUAAACUCAGCUCCAUCUACCUGCCUUUUCCCCAUAACCCUUAAUUCCCUUACUAUGUAAAAACCCAUCUAACUGUUUCUUAAAUAUAUUUAGUGAAGAAGCCUCAACUGCUUCCCUGGGCAGAGAAUUCCACAGAUUCACCACUCUCUGGGAAAAACAGUUUCUCCUUAUCUCCGUCCUAAAUCUUCUCCCCUGAAUCUUGAGGCAAUGUCCCCUAGUUCUAGUCUCACUUACCAAUGGAAACAACUUUCCUACUUCUAUCUUAUCUAUCCCUUUCAAAAUUUUGUAUGUUUCGAUAAGAUCCCCUCACAUUCUUCUGAAUUCCAGACAGUAUAGUCCCAGGCAACUCAAUCUCUCCUCAUAGGUUAACCCCUACAUCUCUGGAAUCAACCUGGUGAACCUCCCCUGCACUGCCUCCAAAGCCAGUAUUUUCUUGUGGGCAUUCACAGUAACUUCAAAGAAGCACAAUAGAAUCAACGGAAAAUUGCAGAUUUGGCACAUUCAAUCACAACAGCUUCUAUGGGGUCAACCAAAGGUGUUAUUAUCCUUUUUAAAUAUACUUUUUAUGACUGCAAGACCCUGGUGGACAUUAAGAACUGAAAGUACUACAGGUUUACCCCAUCAGCGAGUUGCCGAUUGGCAGAGAAACUGCAGGAGCUGAACUUGGUGCAGAUCGUGCUGCAGAUGUGCUGGAGGAGUUGGUGUGCAAAGAUUGUGUGCUGUUUAACAGAAAGUGAUCAUCUUAGUCACUUUUCUUGGGAUCGCAAGACCCUGUUGGACAUUGUUAAUGAGGAAUGCUGCAAGUCCUAUUCACUGAUUUAUCGGCGGACAGUGGGGGAGCUCCAUUGCCUCGGUCAUAGUAAGAACUAGGCCUCAGACCAGGGUGUCGCCUGUUUACAGCUGCCCAGGAGCGAAGCAUUGCCGUUGGUUGGCUUGAACUUGAAUUGUGUUCUUUAUCUUAUUGUAUUUUGUUUUGUGCUGCAUUGGACACAGAGUAACAAUUAUUUUAUUUGACUUUCAUUUCUGUACAGGAAAUUAUAUUAAACUACCUUGAAUCUUGA